CAAAGUCCUUGGACUAAAGAACAAAAUCAUUGCUGGACUGUAGGAUUUCUUCAGCCGCUCUUGUGAACCCUGCUAAGCUGCAUUAAGGUGUUUCGAACUGAAGUGAAUGGUGGACUGUAAUAUUCACACAGCCACUGGUGUGAACAUUUAAAACUGUACGAUGGAUUUAGUGGAAUAUUCACCUGAAAUAAAAAUUGCAAUCCUGGAAAUAAGAGCACAAAAUUCAUCCAUCCAUCCACUACCGCCAUAUGAAUAUUAGAAGUUAAGUGCUUUGAGAGAAACAGUUGGUGGUGGCUGUACCAUUAAACCAUUGCAUAAGAAGAGGACACAACGAGAUGUUAAAAGAGCUCUGGUCAAAGUUCAAACGAUGGAGAACCAUAUGGAAAACAUGGUGGAAUUAUGACAUUUCUGUUAGUAUCAUGUAUUAAUGUGAGGAAGGUUACAGCCUCCUUUGUUUUCAUUUGCCACUAUUUUUAUUAUUCUCGGAGGAACUUAAGCUUCAGUGGACAUUUACAUCACAUGUUUCAUGUACAUCAUGAUGUAUUCAGUAAGUCUGUUUCCAUAUUGCUACACCAACUUUUCCACCUCAGCUAAGCAUAAAAUCUAUUUUGCGAUAUUACAGUCUUUUCUUCUAUUACGGUAUUCUUUGAAUCUAAGUGUUUGCAGUUUUUUGUAAUCUCAGCAUCAGGUCCUCAGUGUGCGAUGUGUUCCAGCUGUGGAUGGUUCUGGUACUAUAGUAUUUUUUGUUAUGUAUAGUACUGGUGUAUUUUGUUAUUUGUAGAUUUUGCGCUCUUGCAAAUGGGUUGAAAAGGGUUUCCUCCAAAGUCCUUGGACUAAAGAACAAAAUCAGUGCUGGACUGUAGGCUUUCUUCAGCUGCUAUUGUGAACCCUUUUAAACUGCAUUGUUAUUGUGUGUUUAGGGGGUGAUAAAGCACAUUUAAUAUAAUGUGAAAUGCAGCUCUAGAAUAUGUUGCAAAGUAAAGAGCAAA